rnacentral:rRNA from 1 species
UACAUGUGGGGCAAGCGUUGUUCGGAAUUACUGGGCGUAAAGCGUGCGUAGACGGCUAUCUAAGUCGGGUGUGAAAGCCCCGGGCUCAACCUGGGAAUUGCAUUCGAGACUGAAUAGCUAGGGUACGGUAGAGGGAAGUGGAAUUUCCGGUGUAGCGGUGAAAUGCGUAGAUAUCGGAAGGAACAUCAGUGGCGAAAGCGGCCUCCUGGGCUAAUACUGACACUGAGGUGCGAAAGCGUGGGGAGCAAACAGG